UUCAUCAUAACAGAUCAUAAAGAAAACAUGACUUUAAUAGCCUUCAUUGUUUGGACACUUGCAACUUGUACCUUGACUUCAGUGGGGCAGAUUGUGACUCAGUCUGAAGAUCAAACAGUGAAGCCUGAUCAGACGGUCACUAUUCGCUGUAAUCAUAAACCAGCUGUGAACCGUUAUAAAACAGGUACCUCUCAGUAUUGCAUGGCCUGGUACCAUCAGAUUCCUGGAGAAGCUCCUAAACUCCUGAUCUAUUACACAUCAGACAGAGCUUCAGGUGUUUCUUCUAGAUUCAGUGGCAGUGAAAGUGGAAACCACAUGGAUUUUAUUCUGACCAUCAGUGGAGUCCAGCCUGAAAAUUCAGGAAUUUAUUACUGUCAGAGUGAGCACGAUAUACCAGAUGACUCAGGGAAGCUAUACCGGGUGUUCACACAGUGUAAAAGCAUUGCACAAAAACCUCCUUGUGUGAGACUGCAGCGCUGCAGCUUUAAGCUUCUACACAUGUUGAUGUUGAAGAUCGUUAUUCACCUCACUGACUUUACACACAAACACAGAGACUCUUUUUGA